rnacentral:rRNA from 1 species
GGACUACUGGGGUUUCUAAUCCAGUUCGCUCCCCACGCUUUCGUGCCUUAGUGUCAGGAAUGAGCCAGUUAUCUGCCUACGCCAUCGGUGUUCCUCCUAAUAUCUACGGAUUUCACUCCUACACUAGGAAUUCCAAUAACCUCUCUCAUCCUCUAGCUGUGCAGUUUUGGUAAUGGAUAUUCGGUUGAGCCGAACGCUUUCACUACCAACUUACACUGCCACCUACGCAACUCUUUACGCCCAGUAAUUCCGGAUAACGCUUGGAUCCUCCGUAUUACCGCGGCUGCUGGCAC